rnacentral:rRNA from 1 species
AUUGAACGCAGGCGGCAUGCUUUACACAUGCAAGUCGAACGGUAACAGGGAGCUUGCUCCGCUGACGAGUGGCGAACGGGUGAGUAAUAUAUCGGAACGUACCCAAGAGUGGGGGAUAACGUAGCGAAAGUUACGCUAAUACCGCAUACGAUCUAUGGAUGAAAGUGGGGGAUCGCAAGACCUCAUGCUCCUGGAGCGGCCGAUAUCUGAUUAGCUAGUUGGUGAGGUAAAGGCUCACCAAGGCGACGAUCAGUAGCUGGUCUGAGAGGACGACCAGCCACACUGGAACUGAGACACGGUCCAGACUCCUACGGGAGGCAGCAGUGGGGAAUUUUGGACAAUGGGCGCAAGCCUGAUCCAGCAAUGCCGCGUGAGUGAAGAAGGCCUUCGGGUUGUAAAGCUCUUUUGUCAGGGAAGAAACGGGAGUGGCUAAUAUCCAUUCCUAAUGACGGUACCUGAAGAAUAAGCACCGGCUAACUACGUGCCAGCAGCCGCAGUAA